rnacentral:rRNA from 1 species
UACGGGGGGGGCAAGCGUUGUUCGGAAUUACUGGGCGUAAAGGGCUCGUAGGCGGCCAACUAAGUCAGACGUGAAAUCCCUCGGCUUAACCGGGGAACUGCAUCUGAUACUGGAUGGCUUGAGUUCGGGAGAGGGAUGCGGAAUUCCAGGUGUAGCGGUGAAAUGCGUAGAUAUCUGGAGGAACACCGGUGGCGAAGGCGGCAUCCUGGACCGACACUGACGCUGAAGAGCGAAAGCCAGGGGAGCAAACGGG